CAGCAGUGGGGAAUAUUGGGCAAUGGGCGAAAGCCUGACCCAGCGACGCCGCGUGAGGGAAGACGGUCUUCGGAUUGUAAACCUCUUUCAGCAGGGAAGAAGCAAGUGACGGUACCUGCAGAAGAAGUCACGGCUAACUACGUGCCAGCAGCCGCGGUAAUACGUAGGUGGCGAGCGUUAUCCGGAAUUACUGGGUGUAAAGUGUGUGUAGGCGGGGAGGCAAGUCAGAUGUGAAAACCAAAGGCUCAACCUUUGGCUUGCAUUUGAAACUGUCUUUCUUGAGAGUGGGAGAGGUAAACGGAAUUCCUAGUGUAGUAGUGAAAUGCGUAGAUAUUAGGAGGAACACCGGUGGCGAAGGCGGUUUACUGGACCACAACUGACGCUGAGACACGAAAGCGUGGGGAGCAAACAGGAUUAGA
rnacentral:rRNA from 1 species